rnacentral:rRNA from 1 species
AACGAACGCUGGCGGCAUGCCUAACACAUGCAAGUCGAACGAGAUCUUCGGGUCUAGUGGCGCACGGGUGCGUAACGCGUGGGAAUCUGCUCUUGGGUUCGGCAUAACAGUUGGAAACGACUUCUAAUACCGUAAGAUGACGAAAGGCCAAAGAUUUAUCGCCAGAGGAUGAGCCCGCGUAGGAUUAGCUAGUUGGUGUGGUAAUGGCGCACCAAGGCGACGAUCCUUAGCUGGUCUGAGAGGAUGAUCAGCCACACUGGGACUGAGACACGGCCCAGACUACUACGGGAGGCAGCAGUGGGGAAUAUUGGACAAUGGGCGAAAGCCUGAUCCAGCAAUGCCGCGUGAGUGAUGAAGGCCUUAGGGUUGUAAAGCUCUUUUACCCGGGAUGAUAAUGACAGUACCGGGAGAAUAAGCUCCGGCUAACUCCGUGCCAGCCGCCGCGGUAA